rnacentral:rRNA from 1 species
CAGUCGCCGCGGGAACACCGAGGGGGCCAGCGUUGUUCGGAAUUACUGGGCGUAAAGCGCACGUAGGCUGCUUUGUAAGUCAGAGGUGAAAGCCCGGGGCUCAACCCCGGAUGUGCCUUUGAGACUGCAGGGCUAGAACGUCGGAGAGGUGAGUGGAAUUCCGAGUGUAGAGGUGAAAUUCGUAGAUAUUCGGAAGAACACCAGUGGCGAAGGCGGCUCACUGGACGACUGUUGACGCUGAGGUGCGAAAGCGUGGGGAGCAAACAGGAUUAGAUACCCCCGUAGUCCCUGUCUCUUAUAC